AAAUAAAUAAAUAAGUAAAUAAAUAAACAAGUAAAUAAAUAAAUAAAUAAAUAAAUAAACAAGUAAAUAAAUAAAUAAGUAAAUAAAUAAAUAAGUAAAUAAAUAAAUAAGUAAAUAAAUAAAUAAGUAAAUAAAUAAAUAAGUAAAUAAAUAAAUAAAUAAGUAAAUAAAUUAAUAAGGUACAUUAUAAAGAAGAACAACAAAGUUGUAUUAUAAAACUGUAAUUUUUUAUUUGUGUUGCACUAGUAAAGAAAAUAGUAUUAUAUCUAUUUACAUUGUUAGGUAACAAAGAAAGAGAAAGGGGAGAAAUAUAUAUACUGAUAUAGUAGUGGCAUGCUCAUAUAUAUAUAUAUAUAUAUACAUGCGAACAGAUAUAUAAACAUAUUAGGUGUGUUUCCAGUGGAAGCUACUAUAUAAAUAAUACUGUAGAAGAACAUAAUAGUGGUACACUUAAAAUGUAUAGUAAUACUAAAGCAAAUUAUAGUAACUUUCAGAGUAGUAAGCCUAAGCAUGAUGUAAUAAAAAGCUCAGUAUAUCGUACAAACAGUACAAGCGAAAUGAACAACAUGUACAACCCUAAUAAUGCUACAUAUAACCCUAAUAAUGCGACAUAUAGCCCCAAUAAUGCAACGUAUAGCCCCAACAAUGCAACGUAUAGCCCCAAUAAUGCGACAUAUAGCCCCAAUAAUGUGAUGUUAACCCCAAACGACACUAUGUUCGACCCAAGCGACACCAUGUACGGACCAACUGAUACCAUGUAUAGCAGAAACGAUGCCAUUUACAGCAGAAAUGACACCAUAUAUGGGCCGAACGAUACGAUUUAUAGCAGAAACGACACCAUGUAUAGUAUGAACGACAACAUGUAUAGUAGGAAUGAUACAAUAUACAGCAAGAAUAACACACUAUUAGGUAAAAACUUAAUUAUGGGGAGUUUAAAUGAAAUGCAAAGUAAAACAUUAAAAGGAAUAAAUUAUAACAUAACAGAAAAUUUGAAAGAAAGUAUAAAAGAAUGUAUGCAAGAAAGUAUGAAUGAAAAGAAUGAAAAUUAUACUAAUUCUUUUGCCAAUUUAUUAUACUUUAAAAUGCUAAAAUUAAAUAAAAAAUUAUUUAGUAAGUUAGAAAAUAAAAACGUUGUAAUAUAUUUGAAAUAUAAAAAUACUGUAUGUACAAGUGAAAAUAUAAAAAUAACAAAUCACGAAAUGAAUGAUUUAUUUUUAUGUUUUUUAAUUACUGAACCAUUUAUAAAGGAUGAAAAAAAAUUAAUAAAAGUAUAUAUUAAAUAUUUUAAAAAUAAUAAAUAUAAAAUAUUAUCUUUCGGAUUAAUACAAUUAAAUUUUGAAGAAUUCACAGAAAAUUUUUACAAUAAAAAAAUAUAUUUG
rnacentral:lncRNA from 1 species